CCCCCCCCCCCAAUACCAUUAAUUUUCAUGAACCCCUAAUUUAUAAUGAAUGACUCCAUAUUUAUAUGGAAGACACCAUGCUAGGAUUAGUAACAAGAAUUUAUUAUUCUCCAAAAUGCAAAUAUAAACCAACAUGGAUAGACCAUUGGUAGUUACCGAACCUAAAUUUACUGCAAUAACACCCACAAGAAAACUCUGCAGUACUUACUCGUUAACCUAACACCAGCGCAUUACAGGAAAGAUUUAAAAAAAGAGAAGGAAUUCGGCAAAUGACGGCCCCGCCUGUUUACCAAAAACAUCGCCUCUUGACUUAUAAUAAGAGGUCCAGCCUGCCCAGUGAAUUUUAAACGGCCGCGGUAUCCUAACCGCGCGAAGGUAGCAUAAUCACUUGUUCUUUAAAUGGGGACUCGUAUCAACGGCAUCACGAGGGUUUUACUGUCUCCUCUUUUUGAUCAGUGAAAUUGAUCUUCCCGUGAAGAAGCGGGAAUAUUUUUAUAAGACGAGAAGACCCCAUGGAGCUUUAAACCAAAUAACAACUUAACUACUUAUCCCACAAUAAAUUUAAGCCCUGUUAUAAGGUUUUUGGUUGGGGUGACCGCGGAGUAAAGCACAUCCUCCACGACGGAAAGAACAUAAUCUUUAUUUAAGAACCACACUUCUAGAAAUUAGUAUACUAACGUUUACUGACCCGACAAUCGAUCAACGGACCAAGUUACCCUGGGGAUAACAGCGCAAUCUACUUCAAGAGCUCAUAUCGACAAGUAGGCUUACGACCUCGAUGUUGGAUCAGGGUAUCCCGGUGGUGCAGCCGCUAC
rnacentral:rRNA from 1 species